AGUAGCAAUACUUUGGUGGCGACCGGCGCACGGGUGAGUAACGCGUAUGCAACCCAUCUAUCAGAGGGGAAUAACCCGGCGAAAGUCGGACUAAUACCGCAUAAAACAGGGGCACCGCAUGGUGAUAUUUGUUAAAGAAAUUCGCUGAUAGAUGGGCAUGCGUUCCAUUAGGUAGUUGGUGAGGUAACGGCUCACCAAGCCGACGAUGGAUAGGGGAACUGAGAGGUUGGUCCCCCACACUGGUACUGAGACACGGACCAGACUCCUACGGGAGGCAGCAGUGAGGAAUAUUGGUCAAUGGGCGAGAGCCUGAACCAGCCAAGUCGCGUGAAGGAAGAAGGAUCUAUGGUUCGUAAACUUCUUUUGCAGGGGAAUAAAGUGCAGGACGUGUCCUGUUUUGUAUGUACCCUGAGAAUAAGGAUCGGCUAACUCCGUGCCAGCAGCCGCGGUAAUACGGAGGAUCCGAGCGUUAUCCGGAUUUAUUGGGUUUAAAGGGUGCGUAGGUGGUUUGAUAAGUCAGCGGUGAAAGUUUGCAGCUUAACUGUAAAAAUGCCGUUGAAACUGUCGGACUUGAGUGUAAAUGAGGUAGGCGGAAUGCGUGGUGUAGCGGUGAAAUGCUUAGAUAUCACGAAGAACUCCGAUUG
rnacentral:rRNA from 1 species